UGGGCUCUUCCGAUCUGGAGAUCUUUACUCAAAAUCGAGUUUUGUUGGGUUGCGUGCUGCCAUACACAGGCACAUCAGGGGACCGCCAUUUGAGCGCAGCAUAAACAUAAUCCAAGUCCGGGAAUUUCACACUGCAAACAAUGUUUUUCUGUCCAUGAU